UACAGAGGGUGCGAGCGUUAAUCGGAAUUACUGGGCGUAAAGCGUGCGCAGGCGGUUAUGUAAGACAGUUGUGAAAUCCCCGGGCUCAACCUGGGAAUUGCAUCUGUGACUGCAUAGCUAGAGUACGGUAGAGGGGGAUGGAAUUCCGCAUGUAGCAGUGAAAUGCGUAGAUAUGCGGAGGAACACCGAUGGCGAAGGCAAUCCCCCUGGACCUGUACUGACGCUCAUGCACGAAAGCGUGGGGGAGCAAACAGG
rnacentral:rRNA from 1 species